CCGCUCGGUGAACAUGAACUUUAUGCUGCUCUCUAUUCCUCGGAUCUCACGUUAUAUAAGCAGCUCUCCCAGCAGGGGCUUAGAAAUUAUAUCGCCAAUACAUUAUUUUCCUUCAGUAUAGACUAAAUAGCAGUUCAGCUUUUGGAUAUGGAAAGCAUUUGGUCUCUAGGCUACAUUCCCUUCCCGACGUGCUCCUGCCUCUGGCUUCACGACAGUCACAGCCUUUACCAGCCCAUGUCUACGGUAGCCUAUCCUAGAGGAACAAUAACCCAACGGUUGCACAAAGAGAGAAAGAGAAAGCAGCGGACAGUAAAUUAUGCUGGUUACCAAAUUGUUCAAUUUAGUUUUUGCUUUUCGAUCCGUCGGCAGAUUUGGAGACAUUUGUCAUGCGCGGUGUAGCGGCGUAGAGGUCAAUUUGCUAGGAUCACCGACAUACCCUUCCACUGGACCAGUGAUCCUGCGUCACGGUCACUACAAACAACUCGGAGAACGCAGAUGCGGACAACAAUCGAGGACUGAGGCGGAAUGAAGGGGAGCAUGUAUGUAUCAGUUAAGAAGAAAUAAACGCGUAUUGCUAUGCUGCCUGAAGAAUCGGAGCGGGUUCCUCGGGCGCCAUUAAGUUCCUUUCAGACUAUUGGAGGAUAGCUGCAAGUGACUUCACGGUUUAUCCAUCUGGUUAUAUUCAAUACAGUCUUACAUCUUAUUCAAAGUCAUUUAAGUUCUGUGUAAAGGUAUAUAUUUAUCAUGCAAAAGUUCAUUCCUUCCCAACUUUUGAGGUCAUAUCCAUUUGAAGUGCACCCUACUAUAUCUAUGGACCACCACCAAUCCCCCAUAUGUCAUCCACAGGGCUACUACAACACUAGCACCUGCUGGAUAUGGCACUGGACACAGUAGAGGCCACGCGCCACAAUUCAGAGAGAUCCCACUCUUUCGUCCUACUGUCACCACUUCUGCUUGUGUCAGCUCCACUCUGUUCCUGUCUGACCCGUUCUGAGGCACACCUGACCAGGUGGAGACCUGCCAUGGUGAUCCAGUGUGCUGUCAUAACGAGGCUGGUGGUCUCCUAAGUAGAGGAAGAGAUGGAAAAAGACACAGAGACGGAGGGAGAGACGGAGGCAGGCGAGAGCAAGAGUGUUCACCAGCACCCAGCUAGUGUUACUAGAGAAGGAGUUCCACUUCAGGCCCUACCUGUGUCCAACCGCAGGCUGGAGAAGGCUGCAUGCCAGAGGCUCACCGAUCGGCAGAUCAAGAUCUGAUUCCAGAACCGACAGUGUCCGACAGUGUCAUAGAGACUGAGACGCCAAACCAUCCUUCUCUACCACCACACACGUUGUCCUCCCUCAGUCCAAGGUUCUCUAUUGGUGUUGGGAACUCAGUUCUUGUCUGGUGAGAGCGCCUAGAUCUCCAACCCUCCUCUUCAUAGAUUAAGAUCGUACCCCUGCUCUGGUUGGUUUUAAACAGUAGAAAUGACAGUGAAUGUUUUUGUGUUUCCUCCAUGGAUCUUCCCCAUCUCACCACCAUACCUGCACCUGUCUCUUACUGUUAGAGACAGCAGUUGUUUGUCCACAGGUCUCUCAGAACCUUCCCCAUGGCACAAUGAUGCACACCUAUCUUAUGACAUCAGUGCAUGCUUCAAAUGUCACGGCUUCCCCCCUAGAACCUCCUACUCACCCUUGAGAGUAGGGCACAACCCUAACACCAACAAAUAAAAGUAUUUGAUCCCCUGCUGAUUUUGUACGUUUUCCCACUGACAAAGAAAUUAUUAGUCUAUCAUUUUAAUGGUAAGUUUAUUUGAACAGUGAGAGACAGAAUAACAACAACAAAAUACAGAAAACACAUGUCAAAAAAGUUAUAAAUUGAUUUGCAUUUUAAUAAGGAAAAUAAGUAUUUGACCCCUCUGCAAAACAUGACUUAGUACUUGGUGACAAAACCCUUGUUGGCAAUCACAGAGGUCAGACGUUUCUUGUAGUUGGCCACCAGGUUUGCACACAUCUCAGGAGGAAUUUUGUCCCACUCCUCUUUGCAGAUCUUCUCCAAAUCAUUAAGGUUUCAAGGCUGAUGUUUGGCAACUCGAACCUUCAGCUCCCUCCACAGAUUUUCUAUGGGAUUAAGGUCUGGAGACUGGCUAGGCCACUCCAGGCCCUUAAUGUGCUUCUUCUUGAGCCACUCCUUUGUUGCCUUGGCCGUGUGUUUUGGGUCAUUGUCAUGCUGUAAUACCCAUCCCGACCCAUUUUCAAUGCCCUGGUGGAUUGAAGGAGGUUCUCACCCAAGAUUUGAUAGUACAUGGCCCCGUCCAUCGUCCUUAUGAUGCUGCGAAGUUGUCCUGUCCCCUUAGCAGAAAAACACCCCCAAAGCAUAAUGUUUCCACCUCCAUGUUUGACGGGACAGGACAAACCUCCAAACACGGUGAGUUGAGUUGAUGCCAAAGAGCUCCAUUUUGGUGUCAUCUGACCACAACACUUUCACCCAGUUGUCUUCUGAAUCAUUCAGAUGUUCAUUGGCAAACUUCAGACGGGCAUGUAUAUGUGCUUUCUUGAGCAGGGGGACCUUGCGGGCGCUGCAGGAUUUCAGUCCUUCACAGGACUACCAAUUGUUUUCUUGGUGACUAUGGUCCCAGCUGCCUUGAGAUCAUUGACAAGAUCCUCCCGUGUAGUUCUGGGCUGAUUCCUCACCGUUCUCAUGAUCAUUGCAACUCCACGAGGUGAGAUCUUGCAUGGAGCCGCAGGCCGAGGGAGAUGGACAGUUCUUUUGUGUUUCCUCCAAUUGCGAAUAAUUGCACUAACUGUUGUUGUCACCUUCUCACCAAGCUUCUUGGCGGUGGUCUUUUAGCCCAUUCCAGCCUUGUGUAGGUCUACAAUCUUGUCCCUGACAUCCUUGGAGAGCUCUUUGGUCUUGGCCAUGGUGGAGAGUUUGGAAUCUGAUUGAUUGAUUGCUUCUGUGGACAGUUGUCUUUUAUACAGGUAACAAACUGAGAUUAGGAGCACUCCCUUUAAGAGUGUGCUCCUAAUCUCAGUUCAUUACCUGUAUAAAAGACACCUGGGAGCCAGAAAUCUUUCUGAUUGAGAGGGGGUCAAAUACUUAUUUCCCUCAUUAAAAUGCAAACCAAUUUAUAACAUUUUUGACAUGCGUUUUUAUUUUAUUUAUUUUAUUCUGUCUCUCACUGUUCAAAUAAACCUACCAUUAAAAUUAUAGACUGAUUACUUCUUUGUCAGUGGGAAAACGUACAAAAUAAGCAGGAGAACAAUUACUUUUUUCCCUCACUGUAAUAUUGUGAGUCGAAGGGCUCAAUUCAAUCAAACCAGCCCGGCAGACGUUACCUUUCAUUCAACGUUUUGAUAGCUGCUUCCUGAACAAGGCAUAAUUAUUACCUGUAGGUUAUCCUGAGUAUCCCUGGGACUAGGUUUCUAUUCCAAAGCAACCACUACUGCCCCCUCUGUUGCUAUUCUAUUAUACCUUGUGGCAGAUGUAAGGCAUGAUGUACUGUACAUAGCAUACCAGUAAUCUUUUGGCAUAAUUGACCUGAUUUAGCUUAUAGCAAUAAACUCCUCAAAUACCUUCUACUGGUAUUACUGUACUGUUUUGCAUGAUGAAUGCAUGUUUUGAACACAUUAUUAAUCUGUGUCAGAUAAUGUAUCAGAUAAUUGACUUGUGGUUGUCAUCUCUGUAAAUCGUAGAGAAAAUUAUUUUGACUUUGCUAUAGUUGUUAGAUGUUAUGUUCUGAUCGUGUAAGUAACAUAAUUUACUAGCCAUCCAUUUAGUAUUUUCAAGACCUCCUGUGUCAAAUACAUGUGGCUGUUGUAUCCGUAGACCAGAGGGAGGGGAAUUUGACUUUGGCUGUAGGUGUCAUGUGUUAGAGGUCUUGUUUCAUGUGUUCUUAUCAUGUUCAUAGCUGCUCAUAUGUGUAAGUUGUUUAUAUGUGUAAGUUGUUAGGGCUAAAUGUGAAAACAGAAGCAAGCAUAUGUUCAUACUGAACAAAGUUAUAUUUUUCUUAUGCAUGUAUUAUGUCAACUAAAAUCAGUUUUUGAUACUAUUCUUGAUUAUUAGAGAUGUUUAAUAAAUGCAUUUGUGUAAAAUCAA